CGCUUAACCGACUGAGCCACCCAGGCGCCCGGAGGCGGUUUCUUAAGGGGAGGCCGUGUGGGUAUGAACAGCUCCUGAGUUGCCUUCGGAGGCGGACUGACGCCCGCCUCCGUGCGCUGCCGGGCAGAGCCGGGCCGGGGCUGCUUGGUGUCCCGAGGACGGCGAGUCUCUACUCUUUUCUCGCCACACGCCCCCCUCGGCUGACCUGGACGCGUCCCACUUGGGUGGUCCCGGCGUGCGGAAAGGGCGUCGUUCACCUGCAACUGCUUUGUGACGGAGCGUUCCUCCCCGUGACGAACCUUGGUGGCGUUUGGCAGGACGAGCAGCACGGGUGGCCCUGCCAUUCAGGCACCCACGUGCCAGGAAACAGCAGAGACAAAAGAGAAAACUCUGUAACCAUUGGCCUCCACCCAGGAACCUGGAAGAAAAUGAAGCAAGACAAACAACAGAGAAAUGUGAACAGCAAAAGAGCAAACUCAGAUGCAUUAAAUGGCUUAACAGUCUUAUGCUACAGCCCCAGCAGAACCUUCUUUGAAAGACCACAACAACUGCAGUGAUUAAAAAGGAGCCUGAUUCUCCCAGAGCCUAAGCUCCCGGGAGGGGGAGGAAGGUCAAGUGAGGAAUUUGAAGAAGCCAUGUUAACCUUUUCAAUUACAAAAUGCCUGCAGGGACUUGAUUCACGAAACCAGGCUGAAGACCACAAGCAUUUAUGAUCCUUCUAAAUAUACCCAAUGAGCCUCCGGAAGUAUCUCAGGUAGUCAGAACCCAGCUCUGUAAAACACAUAAAUACAUUUUAAAUAGCA